rnacentral:rRNA from 1 species
CGGCCGCGUCGACCGGGUGAGUAACGCGUGAGAAUCUGCCUUCAGGACGGAGACAACAGUUGGAAACGACUGCUAAGCCCCGAUAAACCGAAAGGGAAAAUAUUUAUAGCCUGAAGAUGAGCUCGCGUCCGAUUAGCUAGUUGGCGGAGUAAAAGCCCACCAAGGCGACGAUCGGUAGCUGGUCUGAGAGGACGAUCAGCCACACUGGGACUGAGACACGGCCCAGACUCCUACGGGAGGCAGCAGUGGGGAAUUUUCCGCAAUGGGCGAAAGCCUGACGGAGCAAGACCGCGUGGGGGGAAGAAGGCUCUUGGGGUUGUAAAACCCCCUUUUUCUCUGGGAAGAAAGUUGUGAAAGCAACCUGACGGUACCAGAGGAAUCAGCAUCGGCUAACUCCGUGCCAGCAGCCGUUCGACGCGGCCG